GGAAUGGUAGUGCAGUGGUAGCACGCGCUUCUCACUUCCGGUGGUACGCGGGUUCAACUCCCGCUGAGGUCGA